rnacentral:rRNA from 1 species
AAUUGGAGGGCAAGUCUGGUGCCAGCAGCCGCGGUAAUUCCAGCUCCAAUAGCGUAUAUUAAAGUUGUUGCAGUUAAAAAGCUCGUAGUUGAAUUUCGGGAUCGACGGGUCGGUCGCGCCUCUGGUGUGUACUGGCCCUGUCGGUUUCUCCCUUCUGACGAACCACGAUGUCAUUAAUUUGGUGUCGUGGGAAAUCAGGACUGUUACUUUGAAAAAAUUAGAGUGUUUAAAGCAGGCAUUCGCUUGAAUACAUUAGCAUGGAAUAAUGAAAUAGGACGUUUGAUCUUAUUUUGUUGGUUUCUAGGAUUGACGUAAUGAUUAAUAGGGAUAGUUGGGGGCAUUAGUAUUCAAUUGUCAGAGGUGAAAUUCUUGGAUUUAUUGAAGACUAACUACUGCGAAAGCAUUUGCCAAGGAUGUUUUCAUUAAUCAAGAACGAAAGUUAGGGGAUCGAAGACGAUCAGAUACCGUCGUAGUCUUAACCAUAAACUAUGCCGACUAGGGAUCGGAUGAUGUUAAUUUUUUAAUGACUCAUUCGGCGCCUUACGGGAAACCAAAGUGU